GGGGAGGGGUGAUGGAGAGGGGGACUUUGAUUGGAGAGGGUACCUAAUUUAGUCCAGUCAAAGCCCACCUUACUUCAACAGCCGGUAUUUGCUAACUGUCUACACAUUACAAGUUAGAGAGCCAACACAGCCUCUAUCUAGCCCAGUUGGAAAAAUAGGAGUCCAUUUUAUUAGAUCAUGCUGAGCCUUCAGAAGUACUCCCGGGCAAAUCACCUGAAUUCAUAUGAUGCACCAAAAAAGACAAAUGGGGCAUUCUCACUACUUGUCUGUUACAGGUUAAACUGUGGGCCCUGUGGAAGAAGGAGCCAUCAGUCACGAUUCACAGUGGCCUUGUCCCAGGGGAAGCACAACUCUCCCAGCAGUUAACAGUGGUAGCUUUCUUCCCUUGAGCCUUCCCUUCGAACAAACCCUGUCCAGUGAGUGGCUUGCCGCCUGACCCUUGCCACCUCGCUGUAAAUAGGUGGCCUAAUUAGUUAUGAGCAACCAGCCCCAGGACCCAGGUCACAUGAUGGAAACCAGAAACCACCAGUCUCUCCUGAGGAGGACGGAACACCAGAGGACCAAAACACCAGCAGAGGCAGGAGGAGGGAAAGCUCCCUGUUCUUGUGGCUAAAGCUCCCUGAAAUCCAAUGGCAGAGGCUCUGGAACCCAUCCAGGAGAGACAAGCGACCUCGGCAGACCUGGGCCAGUCUGCUCCACCCUCCAGCCCGAUACUCAUUGUUUUCCUUAAGGAUCCUGCCCACCCUGCUGGCUUCAGCCCCCCCCACCUCCCACUGUGAAGCUGUCCUGUCCCAGGCUCCAAUGCCACAUUGUCACCUACACAACUCGAACCUUGCAGAGUUGGUUGGCACUUCCAAGGCAGCUUUAAUAAAACCAAAUGCAUUUUUCUCCAACAAGUUACCUGGCGAUUUCUUCUAUUCUACGCUCAUGAUGGCAUAUUCUCCGUUAUGCUGUCAACCAGAGUUCAGUCAUUUUGAACUCCUAACUUCCUCGUGCCCCCAUCCCGUGUUUCUACAGCAGGACGUUGGCCUCGUAUUUAAUAUUCCCACUCCACUCCUAGAAACGAGCAAAAUGGCCUCCUUGACCAUUCACCACUUCCCACAACUGUGUCAUCCAAAUAGGCUACAUUUGCCUUCCUAGAGGCAUGUCUCUGAUCCUACUGAUUGAUCCCUUUCCAAAGGCCUGCAGUGCCUGACCUCAGAGAACCCUGGUCAUUCAUGCCCGGCCUCAUCUCCACAUUCAGCUGUACCCAGCACACGACAGGUGCUGUGCCAAGCAUUUCAUACAUUCAG
rnacentral:lncRNA from 1 species